UUUUUUUUUUGCUUACUGGUGGGCUUGGAGCCCCUGUUAAAAAUUCACUACCAUGCAUUUUUUUUUAUUUUUCCUAUUUCAGUGGACCGACCACCUUUUCACAAAAGUGAAAAACUGAUAAUGUUUAAUUGGGGAGGGGGUGUACUUUUUAGUGUUUGGGGCCCUAUUGUGUUCAACUUCCCAGAACAGGAAGGGACAGAAUCCUUUAAGCAGUGCCAAACAGAAAACAUACGUUUUUUUACUUCUAAUGUUUCUCCACCCUAUCAAAAAUUGCCUUAAGCAAGUCCCCUGUAGUUGCUCCCAUUUAAGUCCCCAAAACAUUGGGUUUUAUAUGUAAAAACAGGAUUGCUCUAACAUUGUGGCCUUUUUGUUUACGUAUAACCAGCCUGCAGACAAAAUUCAUGCCUUUUCGUUUUUUUCCUCCUCCUCCCCUUUCCCGUUCUCUACUUGGUCCUAAAAGCGGAGUCUUGCCCCAACUGUGGCCGUUCUGCCCAGGCGACAGCUUUUCACAUAGGAAAGAACUAUUACAUCGCAGAAAUGGUAUGGCUCGGCUUUAGGUAGUUGUAAAGGUAUGGCCAGGGGAAUGGAUCAUGCACAUGAUUUACUGCAUGUACAUACAAAAGUGUGCUUAUUCAAAUCAAAAGCAUGCCAUUUUGUACAAAAACUUGCUGCUAUUCUGUUCUGCAAGGUUUUUAUGCAUAUCGGGGGCACUGCUCAGCUUAAGAACCUGAGUAAUGCCUCCAAGACUGGCAUCUAUAGGGGGAGUUUUAUGUUUUUUUCCAUACAAAUAUUAAAAACUGCUUUCAUUUUUGCUACUCUAGAAAAAAUCUGCCUGCUGUGGUACACUGUGUGGUCUUGGCAGGAUUUCAAUCGCCCCCUGAGCGACAACAAUUUAGGCUAAGUCAAUGCGUUCCUCUGCUCUCCAAAGCACAGGCGAUCUAGAACAGGCUGAAGAAUCCAGGUAUCAAGUUGUGUACGAGUAACGAACAUAACUGUCUCAAAGAAUGUCUGCAAACAGUUGAGGUAAUUUGUGUAAAUACUUUAUAUCUUGGGUCUUUCAUCCUCUGGAGCAUUCAAAGCAAACUCACUGAGCUUGUGGUAUAAUUGGUGUUGGUUGUAAUAUUCUGAACAGAAUCAAUUCUUCACCCCUGAGUCAAUUAAAUGAUUCAGUAAAUCAAAUCACACUGCCUCAAAGGCAAUACAACAUAUUCGUAAUAUAUACAAUGUAUCUGGAUGAUCCUUUAACUUUGUUGUGGAUCUUGUACUUAUGAUCCUGAUGUAGUAGUUCAUGACCAGACACUGUAAGAUGGUGGGGGGGGAAACACUUGGCGUGUAAAAAUGAGUUUUAGUUUGGGUAGGUAACACAAAUACUCUUCUGGUUUUGUAAUGAAAAAUAAAAAUACCUUUUUACUUGCUAUUAGUAAUCCCAUCCCUGCCCUCUGGGGUUGCGUGAGGGGAGAAGCUGCUUGAGGAUUUCGCUGACCUUACUGAAGCAAGAUGGGCCCAGUCUUGGCAGUUUGAUCAGAUCAGCUGUCAGGAAACCAACAGAGCGUCACUGGAUGGAUCACCACUUCCUGCCCAUAAGAGGCGAUGACGCUCCUGCAGUAUUGGGGGCUGCUGGGAUAGUGGUGUCGCCUGAAACUGGCAAGAUUAACAGUGUCCAAAAUAAACUGCGCCAUCCAGUAUGUACUGAGCUGUGCCAACUGGCCUGUGCCUAUCAACUGACCCGGUUGGACCCCCAUUCCUCAGCAAUGCUAAGUUUGUGGGAGGAACGCUUUCCUGCCAAGAAAAAGGGUAUUUAGAGCAUUUCAAAGUGAAAAUCCAGUAAAUUAAUAUGGUGCUACAGGACUAUAAAGAAAACAACAAGGUGUGGUGUAAAUUCAGAAUCAGUAAGUACUCUAAUGGUUUCUAAACUGCAUGUAAACACGAAAGUAUUGACCUAAUUAAUAUACUUGGCUUUUUGACAAACUGAUGUGUUCUGUCAAGUAAGCACAGUCCAGCCACCAGCACAUGUUGGGCACUUAAUCUUGCAGCCAUUAAGGAUAAGUGCUACAAACGACUAUGGUAACACUUUACUAAUUGGGGAUGUAAUUCCAGACAUCCUUUCUCCAUGUUACUGGGCAAAGCUGACACCGGUGAGGGGAGUGCAUGGUCAUGGAGGCUGAUUAUGCCUAUACCUCCCAUGUAAUCAUCUACUUCUAUUGUUGUCACAAAAUGAAACCUAUGCCCCCAAUCAUUCCUAGACUGCAACUUUUCUAAAACCAAGUAAAAUAGAAUUUGCGUUUGUUGUGGACACCAUUUUGAUGGGAACUUUUUUUAAUGCAUGUUUUGGGAUUUUCUACUGUAGUGCCUACUGUUGCAAGCAAUGUAACUAGGCAGUUCAGCCUAAUGCUUAGUCAGUCUACUCUUUACAUUUCAGUUUACCCAAAGUGAUGAUACUUCUAAGUAGCCUCCCUGCUGGGUUGCUUGAGGUGGAAAAGCUGUCUCAAACAUGGCAAACAAGAUUUCCAGUUUGUUCAUGAAAAGUCCAAUGUAUGUAAGUACUUCCAAAGUAGGAGGAAACCCCCAUCAAAGCCAGAUUACACUAUAUAACCACUUCUGUAUGCCAGAUUACUUAUUAUGCUGUAUGGAGGGAUGUGGGUGCAAAGUGCAUGGAUACAUUGUAGCGGGUUAUAGUGCUAGAGCCUUUCCUGCUGCUACAACUGUCCAUAGUAAGAGAAAAUGAUGCAGGCUCAGCGGAGGAAGUGCUAACCUGUCAAUGUACAGAUUAGUAUGUGGCUAAACAUUCAAGAAUCUUGACUAUAAACUGGCUUCUUGUUUAUCCCUGAAUAGGCUAAUGAGUGUAUAGGUUAGAUUCCAUGUCAGCAUGUGGCUAAAGUUUCUGGCACCAUAAGCCGGUUUCCUGUGGCAUAUGCACUUGGGCAGUACUCUACCUAAAGUGGAAUUGCACAUCAUCUGAGCACUGCAAAAUAUUCAUUUUUAAUAGACAGUUAUUUUCCCCCUCCGUCCAUGUUUUCUCUCUAUUUUGUUGAGAUAUCAUAUUGGGGCCCCCCCAGUAUUUCUGGCUGUGGCCAUCUUGAGUAAGGGCAGAUCAUUUAGGCUUCACACAGCGUGUGAAUCUUGGAAGAAAGAGACAUGGGUUAGAGUUGUAAUAAGGUAACCCCAAUGUACAGCAUGCAUAUGAGAGAUCUCGUGAUAGUAAGUGGGAAGUCCCAUCUUUGCUCUUUUGUGCAAAUUUAUGAAAACACUAGAAGGGAAGGCUGUCUAAAAUUGUGUUCAUUGAGGAAAAAUUAUAUCACUUUGUAAAUUUAUACACAAGACAAAGGGUCUCAUUUUGUGUGAAACCUUAAUUUUUAUUUUAUUUUGUCUACAAAAACCAUGAAAUAUUUCUGAAAUGAAAAUUGGGUACAAAUGUCUAUAAAUAUGGAUAUGCUCAUCAAACCGGAUGCUUAGUUUGUAAAAUAACUGACUAAAAAAAAGGCUGAAUUUCACAAAAAAAAAAAAGCAUGUAUGUGUUGGAAGGCUCUUUUGCAUGGUACUGGAUUGUGUUGGAUUGUCCAGUCCUUAAAACUUAACUUCCUUCACAUAGCCCUGCUUGGCAGCAGAGAAGACUUUUUUUUUUUUUUCUUGCUCUGCUCUUUCCUUCUUUGCAGCGGCACAACUAAUUCACUCCUUGAGCUGCCGUCUCCUGCACAGGCUGAGCUCUGCUCUACUGGGACUGCACAAGGAUGAGAGCAGGUCUGAUUUAGUCAGACAACCCAUGUAAGGUUGUAUUGAUGAAUAUGGUGCUGUGUUCUGAAAUCACAAGUUUUUGAUUAUGUUUUUAACCACUGUGAAAUAUGACACGAAACCAUGCAUAAAAGUUAGUGCGUGAUUGGAUCAGGUACAAAACGACCAUACCUUAAAACGUAGCACACUCCAGACAGCAGUCUGCAACAACGCCUAAAGGAUGCAGCACUUCAUUGGCCAAUUGGCUGUAAAAAUUAUUCGCUCACAAAAAGGUGAAUGUUCUUUUUACCAGAUGAGAACACUUGAUCUGUUUGGGGGGGGGGGGGAGCAUUUGUUAAUGCAAAGAGGGGCAUGUUGUGCUUUAUUACAGCAUGACUGCUACGAGGGUGCUUUUAUCCAAAGAUAUUGCUCAAAAUGACAAUCAUAAAUGUUCUAAAACCUUUGCUAUGCUUCUGAUUGGAAGAGCAGAGGAUGUUCAGUGGUUUUGAGAUGGUAGUCUAAUAUAGUUCAAAAGAGAUUGAAAACCUGUGUUAUUACUAAAUUACAUCAAUGAUUUACACCACAGCAGAUGGCUUUCAGCCAGUUGUGUCACACAUGACUGUUAGGGGGUUUAUUUCAUGUGUUUUAGAAACCUGCAAUACUGUUAUAAACGACAAGAACUCAUCCACCUGUGUCAAACUAUACAAGAAUUCGUCCAUCUGAAAAAUGUAAGUGGAACUACAAAAACCCGAAACCUCGAGAUAUAAAAGUGUGGUAUUAACAAAUUUCCUUAGAAAAACCUUGCAUUAAAACUAUUUCAUUGUAAAAUGAGCCUUCAUUAACUCAUUAAAAGAUUUCCUUCAAUAUACUUCUAUGUGUACAUUGAGAUGGUUAAACCCUUUGACAAGUCAUUGCAAAUAAAAAGAAUGUUGGUGGGUGUAGGAAAGCUUGCAUCUAGUCUGCAUUGUCUACCUCUAAAUUUUUGUUUAAUAAAAAUUAUAUAUUGGUGAUGAAUGGACCACACGCUAAUACACUGGCACAUGGCACAGAUGUUUUUUAAAUACGGUUGUUGAGGUUCAGCCAUAACAUUUCCUAAUAACUCCUAACCGCUUCAGGCAGAUGGAUUAUUCAUGCAAACUCAAGUCCCUGCAAAAGACUUGAAGCCGGUAAACUCUGUAGUUCUAUGCUGUCAAAGGAAACUACAGUACGUUUCUAUUGUAUCUUUAGGUUAUUCUACAGCUACCAUAAAGACGCAGUGACAUUUGGAGACCAUUUCAUGAAUGAUGGUGCUUUGCUUAGAAUUAGAUGUGAUCUGUAUUUGAUUCUAUAAUCAGUUUAUUUUAAUUUUUUAUUUUAAAUCUUCAUUAUUUUACCAUACUUUUUCGGUUAGUUGAGAUUACCUAUAUUGUCUAGUGUGACGAUGAUCUUUUGGCGGUGCUAAUUAUCUUUUGUAUGUAUCUUUCCAUUUUCCAGACCUAAGGGACGUUUUUGAAGCCCCUUCGGUGUCUGGCCUUAUUUUUAUCUCCUAGUAGUGCACCAUUUUGGUCACUGGUAUAAAAAAUUAUUUCCUUAACAACUGAAAUUAUUUCUAGGUGGGGAAGUGCUACUCAUGUACUACAUCUACUGUUUGGAUGUCUUUCAGAGAUGUUUUUCCAGCAAUUUUGGGGAGCUGCAAGAAAUUCUGGCCCGGUUUGUGGUUUUCAGAAUGCAUAGGGAAACAUCUCAGCCACAGUGAAACACAACUGUGAGAUGAGCAAUGGACAAGACAUAAAUGCGUGAAUAAUUUGGGGGCUGUUUUUGGAAUGUUCUUAUUUCUCAACAGUACCUAGCCACUAUCAAGAUGGCUUAUCCAUGGAGAAUCUCGGUACCUCUGCAGAAGCAUUUUGAAGCUUGGACAGUUCCCAUGUAUUUUGGAUGUUCUGUCUCCUUUUCCCUGUUUUUUUUUUUUUUUUUUUUUUAGACCUUAGAAACCUUCCUGGUGCCCUUCCAGUAUGUCCAUUAUCAGGAUUCUAUUUUCUCUUCUGUAUGAUGGGUUAGUCACAAUUUCCUUGACUUGUGGUGGCAAAUUAAUACAUUUUGGGUGGGAAAAGCAGACUUGUUUUCUGGAUUACUUGAAGAUAUCGCAACUAGCAAAAGUUCCUGAAAGAUAAGUCAAACAUCUCUUGUUCUUCAGCUUAGGUAUUCUGAUUCCAAUUUAUCUCAAUGUUUUUCAUCGUGUGCUGGGAAACAUGAGGUGAAAAAUGGAGCACAACAGCAGUUUUUUUUUUUUCUUUGUAUGGAUUUUUAUAGUUAAUGGCUGAUAGCAAGAUGGGUUAUCGGAAAAGCACAUCACCCCUGCAGAAGACUUGUGAAGCUUGCAGUCUCCACUCUUUUGUAAGACCCACAGAAGAUAUACAGUAUAUAUGCAUGGUUAGUGUCAACAAUUCGUCAUUCACAUACAGCUGACCAAAUACCAUUAUAAUGAUCUGUGGAUGUCUACAUUGUAGUUGAUCAGGAGGUAAUUUCUUUUAAAUUCCUAUUCCAGCAUCUCAUUUUGUGGCUUUGUACAAGUGAUCAAAUGGCUGAUUUUUAUUUAUUUUUUACUACCCAUGUUUGUUUUCCCAAAUAUUUAUUUAUUUUUUAUCUUGAUGCUCAGUUUCUGUCCAGUUUUUUUUGUUUUUUUUCCCAACCUUAUUUAUCUUUCAGACUUUAGAACCAUGCUUGGAAGUCAUUUCAGAAUAUUAUCCACCACUAUUUCAUAUUUUCCAAUGCACCCUUUUACUCACUGGGAUAACCAUUAGCAUUGUCUUGACAAGAGGUGGGGAAAUCAAAUAUUUUUUGGGUGGGAAAGGAUAGUUUACUUUUGAAUUUAUUUUGCAGAUGUCUUUUAAUAUGCACUUUUUUCUGAGACAAGUUGGGGGACUCCUUUUUUGGUGAGUUUGAAAUUAUCCUGUCCCCCUUUGUAUCUGCGCCUUUAGAAUUCAUUGGGGAGCACUUGAGGAGAUUAAUGGAAGACACAUGGGAUCCAAAUACAAUGGUAGAUGCUGUGUUUUUGAAUGGUCAUAUGGUGGGUGGAUGGGAUAUCUUUCUGAAUUGCUUCAACAGAUCUUGGCCGAUGGAUGGAUAUAUUGUGACAAUCUUGCCACCUCUGCAGAAGACUUCUGAAGCUUGGAAAGUCAUCUUGUACUAUAUAUAGGUUUGGCCAAAGCAUUACAAAAAUAUAUUUGUAUGGCUAAUGUCAACAAUUCAUUAUUUCCAGCUACAAGGAUCGCAUAGGGAUUACCUGUGAGGGCCACCGUGUAAUUGCAUAGGAGCUACUUUGAUCAUAUAUAAUUUUAUCAAAUCCAUAUGCAGGCCUGGUCAGAUGUUUUUUUUUUUUUUUUUCUUUCUAACCUUUUUUAUAGGUCUUGCCGUUUUUCAUUUUAUCAAAGAUAAAGAAGUUCAGUUUGCCUGAACUGUCUGAUAUGAUAUUCCUGUGCUUGUUCCUGCCCCCCCAUCCUCCUACUUUUUUCGGUGUUCAAAAACUCCUUAAAGCUUUAUGUCCAUAUUUUAGAGUUUUUUUCUCUACUCUAAAAUGUACGUUUGGGAUAUACAUUUUAUUUUUGGGUGGGAAAGAUUUCAGAUGUUUAUCUACACUAGCAGAAAUUCCUGAAAGACACAUUGGAAACUUGCUUGUUCUUUAGCUUGGGUCAACGCACUGUUGCCAGGCAUUUUGGUCCCCUUUUUUAAUUUUUUUUUCAGAAUGCGUCCGGCAGCAAUCAAUUACAAGUGGAGCACACAUAAUAAGCAGAAGUGCAAUGGCAGAUGCUUUAUAGAGAAUCCCCUAUGUAUCUUGCAUGUACCAACAAGUCAAACGGCUUCCUCGUAUAACGGAUACUUCCGGCUGCAACCGGAAGCGACGUUCACCCGGCUUCUCCCUAUGCAUUGCGUCACCGCUCAUGUGAGUUUUUAUACAUUUUUAAUCGUUGGUGUGACUAGACCCGUAGGGUUGAGGUCGGAGGCUUGGCACACAGUUUGCGUGGAUGGUGAAGCAUGAUUAAAGAAAUUGCCUUAUAUGGGUCUGCAUUGUGUUUGCUGAGCACUUUAUGGACUUUUUUUUUGUAUUUGCUUCUUUAUGAUCUUAAUACUGAGUGAGGAGUUUUUUUGCACUGAGCAUUUUGCUAUUGAUCACUGUUGGCUACAUUUUUAUACAUUGUAGAUUUAUUCAAUUGCAUGUUUCUAUUGAAGAAAAUUUGCACUUAAUCGGUCUAUAUUGUCUGAAGUGGUGGUGAUUUCCGUCUACCCUAUUUGUGCCCUUUUUUUUUUUUUUUUUCACCUUGCAUCUUUAUUCAGACAUUUGAAACAUUCUUGGGGCCUUCCAGUGUGUCCUCCCUUUAUCAUAAACAUCUCCUGCAAUAUAUCAUCUUAAUAAAGUUCCCUUGGAUAAAUUUUACCUUGACAUGUGAUGGCAAAUGAUCUCUGGAUGUCAAAAGGACAGUAUGCAUUUUGGAUGUCUUCACUAGGAGUUUCCUGGAAGUCUAGUUAGAAAUUGGUUUGACCUUCACUUUCCUUUCAAGCUGCCAGGUAUUCUCUACUUUUUCUCCGUGUUUUUCAGAAUGCUUUUAGAAGCUUUUGAACUGCAAUGAAGCUCAACUGAGAUGAGGAAUAUACAACAUACAAGUACAAUGACAGAUGGUUUAUGGAGUAUUAAAUGAGUUGUCAUUUUGGGGGCUGUUAGAAUAUUUUUAUUGAUUGCUCUCAACACUACAUGGCAAUACAAGAUGGCCUAUACAUGAAAAUCUCAUAACCCCUUAAGAAGCUUGAAGAGUCCCAAUAUAAUCUUUGAAUGUGAAAUGUAUUUGUUUCCCCUCCAUGCAGGGGCCUUGUUCCUAUUUUUCUAUGUUUAUAGACAUUGGAAACCUUCACAAAGCACCUUCAGUAUGCCCAUCAUUGUAAAGAUGCCCCCCCCCCCCUUCAGAUCUUUCUACCAGCAAAUGUUCCUGAAAGAUCGCUUUGAGAACUUUUUUGUUCUUUGGGUUUGGUGAGUUGCUAGAUAUCCUGGUCUUUUGUUUUUUUUUUGUUUUUUAGUAUAUUUCAGGAUGUAAUGGAAAGCAUGAGAUGGAAUGAAGAUGCGUUAGCGAGAAGUCCUAUGUAGUUUUGAUUUACAACUGAGCAGGUAGAUGUUUUUUUGUCCUUUAAUCCUUCAGCCUUGCUGUUUAUAGCAGUUCAUUUUUGCCUAUAUUGCCUGAAGCGAUAUUGAUCUUUAGGAUGUCCGCUUUUGCAUUUUUUUUUCUCUCCAUUUUUAGACUUCGGUAUCAUUCCUGGAGCCCCCUUCAGGAUAUUUGCCAUUUUAUCUCCUGAAAUGCACCUUUAAGAUCACUGCUAUAAACCUUAUUGCCUUGACAAGUGAUGGCAGCUGAAAGUACCUUCAUGACCUUAUUUCUUUGGAUGUCUUCAUUAUUGGACGUUUCAGAUUACCCAUUUGGCAGCUGGUUUGUUUUAUUACAUUGUUGUUUCCCGGUAUGCUGUCCCCCCUUUUCUCAAUAUUUUUCACAAUGCAUUCUGAAUAACACCAACUGCAAUAGAUAAACAAGUGAGAUGAAGAACUGACAGCACGCAGAAGACUGCAAGUACAAUGGCAGAUGCUUUACGGAAUGGUUCCGUUUUUAAAAGGAUUGUCAUUUGAAUGUUGGGGUAUUUUUUGUGAUUGCUUUCAACAGAUCCCUCCCUGCCCAAUAGGAAGAUGGAUUUUCUCAGCACCCCAAUAGUGAAAAUCUCGAUAUUCCUGCAGAAGACUUCUGAGGCUCGGACAGUUAAUGUUUCUGUAAUGGCAUGUAAUGAAAACUUUGCCACUUUAGCAUAUUAAGAAGUUUAGUGCAAUGGAUUACAUGUAUUUUUAAAAUUGCAUAGUUUUAUUUUACCCAUGAUGUAUACAGAAGAGCAGUUUUUGUCUGAGUUUAUUUAAUAUGAUGAUUCUGUGCAUGUUCUUUUUUUUUUUCCCCCAUCUUGCCUCUUUUUGUAGGUGUUAAAAAAACAAACAAACCUCUUCAAACCCUCCCAAUCUGUCCACAGUUAUUGUAAGGAUUUCUUGUGGGAUAUACUUCCACACUUCCCAGAGAUUGUAAAUGGAAAAACAUUUGGGAAAAGGGCCAGUCUUGGAUUUCAUCAGAUAUCUCUACUGGCAGUACUUCCUGAAAGGCACUUUUUUUUCUUUGAGUUGCUAGAUAUUCUGGUCCACUUUUUCAGAAUGCGUCGGAAAGCAUGAGAUAGGGAAUGGAACGCGCGUAACAUGCAAGUACAAUGAUCAAUGCUUUGUAGAACAGUCCUAUGUAAUUUUUGCGACUGAUCAGGUAGAUGGUUUUUCUUUUCAAAGCUUAUCCUGCUUUUCUUAAUGCCUCAGCCAUGCUGUUUAUAACAGUCAAUGUCGUCUAAAGUGUUUAUCUGGUUUUUGUCUGGAUUUUUUUUUUUUUCUACCUUGCAUUUUCAGAAUCUUUCCUGGAGCCCCUUCCGUAUGAUCCACCAUUAUCUAUAAAAUGUUUUAUCUUCUGACACGCACCUCCUUAUAUUUUCACUGAUUUUAUAAAAAAAAUAUCUUGACAAGUUGAUGGCAAAAGAAAGCACCUGCAGGAGGGAAAAGACAGUCUUGUUUGAAUUUCUUUCACAGAUGUCUUCGCUACUAGAAAAUUCAGAUAAAUCAGUUGGGAGUUGGUUUGUUCAGGUGCAUUGCAGUUUCCAGGUAUUCCAUUUUUUUCCCCUCAGUGUUUUCAGAAUGCACUGUGAAGUUUUUCAGAAUGCAUUGUGAAGUGUUUUUAGCAACAGUAAAAAAAAAAGUGCAAGUACACUGGCAGAUGCUAUAUGAAGUGGCCCGGAUGAAAGAUUUGUUUGGGAGUUUUUGGGAUCUUUUUCUGAAUUGAUUUAAACAGAUUCUUUAAGGAUCGAAAGACAGAUUAUCUGUGAAUCCCAGCACCCCUGUAGAAGAGUUUUGAGGCUCGGACAAUCUCCAUAUAUCUGUAAAUCCGGCAUUUAAUUGAACUUAUUUUAUAUAUAAUUAUUGUUGCCAUUUUAGCAUAUCAAUAUGUAGUUUAUUAUGACUAUAAUCAGAUGUUUUUUAAUAAAUUGAUCUUGCCUCCUUUUUGUUUUAUCCAUGAUGCUCUAUACAGAGGUUAAGUUUGUCUUUUUUUAAUGAUUUGAUAUGUCCUAUUUCUGUGUCUGCCUUUUUUUUUCUUCCCUCCCCAUCUUUUGUUGGUUGUUAGAAUGUCUGUCUUUUUUAUAUGUCCAUUAUUUGUAAGGAUUUUUAUUUUUAUUUUGUCUACAUUGAGAUACUAAAACAUUUCCUAGACUUUUGAUGGCAAAUGAAAUUUAGAUUUUGGGUAGAAAGACAGGUUGUGUUUUUUUGGGUUUUUCAGAUAUCUCUACUAUAGCAGCUGUUCCUAAAAACUCAUACUGGGAAGUUUUCUUGUUACGUGAGUUACCAGGCAUUGUCCACAUUUUCAGAAUACUUUAUUAAUCCAAAAGGUAAAUUACUACAAACGUGAGAUGAGAAAUUAAGCCUAUAGUACAAUGGCAGAUGUUAUAGAGAAUUAUAUGUAGUUUUUUCAAUUGUAGAUGUUUUACUGUUCUAACAUGGCCCUGUCUUUUCUUGAUGCUUUAACCGUGCUUUUUAUAGCAGUUUAGUUUGCCAAUAUUGUCUUUUGAUGUCCUAUUUUUAUUUCUAUGCUUCCAACCCAAAUCUUUUUUUUCAAUUUAGAAACUAAUUUAAACCCCCUCCAGUAUAUCCACCAUUAUCGUAAAAUGUUUGAUCGCCAGCAACAUAUCAGUAUUCUCUUGGAUAAGCAUUGUUUAAUGCAUUGGCAAGUGAUGGCAAAACAUUAUUUUACUAGCAGAACUUCCUGAAUGACAAGUUGGACUCCUGAUUUGUUGUUCAUUUUGAGUAAGUUUGUAGGUAUUCUGUCCCUGGUGGGGGUUUUUUUUUUUUUCCCUCUGUAUUCAGAAUGCCUUGUGAAGUAUUCGAGAUGGUGUUAACCACACAGACAAGAGUAAGCACAACAAAUGCUUUAUGGACUAGCCCUGUUUAAUGAAUGGUCAUUUGGAGGUUGUUAGGAUGCUUUUCUAGAUUAAUUUCAACUUUUCUUGAUUGUAAAAUGCAUUGUCUGUAAAAAUCCUGGCACCCCUGCUAAACACUAAAGCGGUUCAGUCACCAGACUUCUGUAAUGACACUAUAUGUAAUGAGGUGUUAUAGUUACCAUUUUAACAUAUCAAUAGAUAGUUUAGUAUGAAAAAACGGAUUAAUGUUUUCUUUUUACUAAAUUGCCUGUCUUUUCAUUGUUGGCCAUGUGUAUUGAUGAGUUCAGCUUCCCUGUAUUUGAUUUCGUAACUGACUAGAAUGUCCUAUUUUAGUGUUUGCCUUUUUUUUUUUUUUUCAAAUAGGCGAUACAAUAUUGUUGGAAUUAAUAAUCUAAGAUUUUUUUCUUUUUACACCUGUAUACAUUGUGAUGUACUUCAAUAUUUCUCCAACAUGUGAUGGAUGAAAUGAUGAUCUGGGUGGGAAAGAACAGUUUUUGUUUUUUUUUCUUUUGGAUUUUUUACAGAUCGUUUAAAUGUCAGAUACUCCUGAAAACCACAAACUUUUUUGUUCUGCUUUGGUAACUGUACACGUAUUCUGGUACACUUUUUCUCACUGUUUUUUAGAAUGCGUUGGAAAGCAUGAGAUGAAAAACCGAGCACAUGUGAAGUACAGUAGCUAUAAGGAAAAUAAACAGAGCACACAUGUUAAGUACAAUGGCUAUAGGAAGAGCAACUGAUGAUUUUUUUUUUUUUCUUUUCUUCUCCACUUUGGAUUGUUUCUGCCAUUUCCAGAUGUUUGUUACAGUGCUUUUUUAUUUUUUGCCAUUGUCCUGCCAUUUAUAGCAGUUUAUUUUGCCUACAUUGUCUGAAGUGAAGAUUAAUCUUCAGAUGUCCAAUUGGUGUAUGUGUCUGCCUUUUUUCCACCUUGCUUAUUUUUCAGACUUGAAAACAUUCCUGAAUCGCCCCUUCCAUAUGUCCAAAUUAUAAAAACCUUUAAAGCAUCCUGCUGUAAUGCACCUUUUUAUAUGGUUGCCCUGGAUAAAUAUUACAUUUAUAUGUGAUGACAAAUGAGUACCUUCAGGAGGGAAAAGAUCGUCUGUUUCGGUUUUCAAUUUCUUCAGAUGCCUUCACUAGUAGAAGGUUCAGAUGGACCAACAUUUGCAGUGAGUUUCCAGGUAUUCCAUCCCCUUUUUCUCAGUAUUUUUCAGAUUGCCUGGUGAAGUAUUGUAACAGCGGUAAAAUAUAACAAACACAAAGAUUGCAAGUACAACAGCAGAUGGUUUAUGGAAUGGCCCUGAAUGAAUUGUCAUUUUGGGAGUUGGGAAAUUUUCUGCAUUGAUUUCAACAGAUUCUUGCUGAUCGUAAGAUGGAUUUUCUGUGAAUAUUGCAGUCCCCCUGCAGAAGACUUCUGAUGCUAGGACAGUUUGCAUGGUUGGUGCCAACAAUUCUUUCACAUAAAGCUACCCUGAUGGCAGUUAUCACCUGUUAUUACCAAAGUGUAAUUGAAGAGGAGGUACUUUGUAUAUAAUUAUAGUUUACUUUUUAGCAAAUCAAUAUGUAGUUAACCUUUCUUGAUGUUUCAUGGUGCUUAUAGCAGUUUCAUUUACCCUUUAUUGUCUGAUGUAAUGACCAUCUUAAAAAUGUCCGAUUUGUGUCGUAUUUUUUUUUUUUCCCACCUCAUUUUUUUCUCCAGAUUUUAGAAACCUUCCUGGAGCCCUUCAGUAUGUCCACCACAAUCAAGAUCUUUUCUAAUCUCGUAAUGCACCUUUUAUAUUGUUCCUUGAGAUUUUUAACUUGACAAGUGAUGGAGGGAAAAUAUGUUUUUGAAUUUCUUUGCAAUGUCUUCACUAGUGGAGGUUUCAAAAAAAACAUUUGGGAACUGGUUUGUUCAGUUGCAGUGAGUUUCCAGGUACUCUGUUCCCCUUGUUUUUUCUCAUGUUUUUUUUCCAGGUUGGUAAAAACAGUAAAACUGAGAUGAAAACCUGCCAACAGUCUGCAAGUAUGAAUUUUUUUAAUAACUUGUCCAGGUAGUUUUUGGGAUAUUUUCUGGAUUGAUUUCAACAGAUACUUGAUCGGAAGACUGUCCAAGAAAUUCUCAACAUUCCUGCAGGAGACUUCUGAGGCUCGGGACUAUCUCCAUAUCCACCUCUUAAAUUUUCACUGAUUUAGAUUUAAUAAAAAUUAUUUCGACAAGUUGAUGGCAAAUGAGAGAACCUGCAGGAGGGAUAAAGACAGUCUUGUUUGAAUUUCUUUUACAGAUGUCUUCGCUACUUGAAAAUUGAGAGAAACAAUUUGGGAGUUGUGAACGUUCAGCUGCAUUGCAGUUUCCAGGUAUUCCAUUUUUUUUCCCUCUGUGUUUUUCAGAAUGCAUUGUAAAGUGUUUUUUUAGCUACAGUUAAAAAAAACUGAGAAGAAUUGACAUCACACAGACUGGCAGAUGAUUUAUGGAGUGGCCCCGCUGAAAGAAUUGUUUGGGAGUUUUUGGGAUAUUUUUCUGGUUGCUUUCAACAGAUUCUUGAGGAUCGGAAGACAAUUAUCCAUGAAUUUCGGCACCCCUGUAGAAGAGUUCUGAAGCUCGGACAGUCUCCAUGUUUCUGUAAUUCCAACAUUUAAUUGAUAAACUUACUUUAUAUAGAAUUAUAGUUGCCAUUUUAGCAUGUCAAUAUGUAGUUUAGAAUGACUAAUCAAAUGGAUGUUUUUAAUUAGUCUUGCCUUUUCAUUUUGUUUUAUCCAUGAUGCUCUAUACAUAAGUUGUUUGUCUUAAUGAUUUGAUAUGUCCUAGUUCUGUGUCUUGGUUUUGGAGUAUUUUAAGGAUUUUCUUUUCGCUUUUGUCUACAUUGGGAUAUACUUCAACAUUUCCUAGACUUUUAAUGGCACAUGAAAUUAGAUUUUGGGUAGAAAAGGACAGGUCGUCUUUUGUAUUUCUUCAGAUACCUCUGCUAUAGUGGGAAUUCCUGAAAAACUCAUACUGUGAAGUUUCUUCGGUGAGUUGCCAUGUAUUGUCCACAUUUUCUGAAUAUUUUAAUAAUCCAAAAGGGAAAUUAAUACAAACGUGAGAUUAGAAAUGACGGAUAUGUAGUACAAUGGCAGAUGCUAUAUAGAAGUUCUAUGUCAAUUUUUUCAAUUAAUGUUUUACUUUUCUAACAUUGUCGUUUUUUUUUGUUUUGUUUUUUUGUUAUGCUUUUAAACGUGCUGUUUAUAGCAGUUUAGUUUAUCAUCACUUCUGACAAUAUAGACAGUCUUUGGAUGUCAUAUUUCGUUUUUAUGCCUUACUUCUAUUUCAGAGUUUAGAAACACAUUGAAACCCCCCUCCGGUAUAUCCACCACUAUCGUAAAAUGUUUGCUCGCCAGCAACAUAUCUGUAUAUUCUCUUGGAUAAGCAUUGUUAAUGUAUUGGCAAGUGAAAUUGAUUUCUGGGUGGGGAAAGGAUGGUCUGCUUUUUGGAUUUCUUUACAGAUGUCUACUAGUGGAAGUUGCUGGAUGACAAGUUGGGACUCCUGAUUUGUUUGAGUGAGUUUCCAGGUAUUCUGUCCCUUUUUUGUUUUUUCUUGUCUUACUCAGUAUUUUUCAGAAUGCCUUGUGAAGUAUUUGAGACAUAAUCAAUGACAUGAGGCGUUAAGCACAACAGAUGGUUUAUGGGACUAACCCUGUUUAAUGAGUGGUUGUUGGGAUGCUUUUCUGAAUUGAUUUAAACAGAUUCUUGAUUGUAAAAUUGUAAACAAAAAAACCUCAGCACCCCUGCUAAAGACUUGAGGUUAAGUCAUCAGAUUUCUGUAAUGGCUCUAUAAUGGUAAUUGAUGAGGGUUAAAAAUGGUUAAAUAGUAACUAUAUCAAUCUAUAGUUUAGAAUGAAUAAACCAAUGGAUGUUUUUCCUUUUUUUAAAUUAGCCAUGCCCUUUCUUUGUGUUAGCCAUGAUGUGUAUAGAUGAAUUAAGUUUCCCUGUAUUGUUUGAUUUCAUAACUAUGACUAUAAUGGUCCUAUUUUAGUGUUUAGUUUACAUUUUUUUUUAAAUAGGCAAUCAAACUUGACUCACCCCUCAAUAUUCCAAUAUUGUGUAAGAUUUUUUUUCUUUUUACUCCUGCAAACAUUGAUCCAUCAAUAUUUCCCCAAUGUGUGAUAGAUGAAAUGAUGAUCUGGGUGGGAAAGGACAGUUUUUUCUUUUACAGAUCUCUUAAAUUGCAGAUGUUCCAAAAAAAAAAAAACCCCACAUCAGAACCAUUUAGUUCUGCUUUGGUAAGUGUACAUGUGUUCUGGUACACUUUUUUUCUCAGUGUUUUUCAGAAUGCGCUGGAAAGCUGGAGAUGAAAAACCAAGCACACGUAAAGUACUAAAGCUAUAAGAAGAACUGAUCAGGUAGAUUUAUUCAUUUUUUAUUUUUUUAUUUGGAUUAGUUCUACUUUUUCCAGAUGUUUGUCAUACUGUUUUAUAGCAGUUCAGUUUGCCUAUAUUGUCAGAAGUGAUGGCGACUUAGCAUUUUCUAUUUUUGUCUAUGCAUUUUUUUUUCACCUUUUUUCAGACUUGGAAACCUUCCUGGAGUCCCUUCCGUAUGUUCACAUUAUACACAUUAUCUGCUGUAAUGCGCCCUAAAUUUCCCUGUGUAAAUAUUACCUCGACAAGUGAUAGGAAAUGCAAGUUCUUUUUGGAGGGAAAAAGACAGUCUGCUUUUAUUUUUUCAGAUGUCUUCGCUGGUAGAGGUUUCAAAUAGACCAACAUUUGGGAACCAAUUUGUUCUGUUGCAGUGAGUUUCGAGGUAUUCUAUACUUUUUUUUUGUUUUUUUUCUGUGUUUUUCAGAAUAUACUGUGUUUUUUUAGAAAAAUAGAAAAACUGACAACACACAAAACCGCAAGUACGACGGCUGAUGUUUUAUGGAAUGGCCAUAUUGAAUAGAUUGUCAUUUGAGAGUUGGGGUAAUUCUCUGGAUUGAUUUCAAAAGAUUCUUGACGAUCGUAAAAUGGAUGAUCUGUGAAAAUCUCAUCACCCCUGCAAAAGACUUCUGAGGCUUAGACCAUCUCCAUAUUUCUUUAAUUCCAGUAUGUAAUUGAUGAGAACCUACUUUGUAUAUAAUUGCCAUUUUAGAAUAUCAAUAUGUAAUUUAGUACUACGGAUUACAUGGAUGUUUUUUUUUUUUUUUUCUUACAAAAUGUCUUGCCUUUUUAAUUAUGUUUUGAGAAUAUCAACUUUGUGUUGUCUGGUUGAUUUUAUGGUGUUCUGUUUUUCCUAUCUUUCUUCAUUUGUGGGUGUUAGCGAAUGUCUUCAGGCCCUCUCAAUAUAUGUCCAUUAUUGUAAGGAUUUUCUGUUUUGCUCUUGUACAUUAGGAAAUGUUGAAGUAUUUCUCAGACUUGAUGGCAAAUGAAAUUAGUUUUGGGUGUUCUUUAUUUGACAUUGCUUUACAGAUAGCUCUAUGAGCAAAUGUACCUCAAAAACACUGGGACAUUUUCUGUUCUUCAGCUUUGAGUUGCCAGGUAUUUUGUCUCCCUCUUUUCUCCAGUGUUCUUCACAAUGUGUUUUAAAACAUGAGAUGAGAAAUGAAGCAUAUGUAGAGCACAUGUACAAUAACAAAUGCUAUACUGGGAAGUUUCUGUGUAAAAUUUUUCAAUAAAUCUGGAAAAUGUUUUACUUUUUAACCAUGGUCCUGCAUUUUUAUAAUACUUUAGCCAUGCUAUAUUUAUAGCAGUUAAUUUUGCCUAUAUUGUCUGAAGUGAAGAUGAGCUUCAGAUGUCCCAUUUGUGUCUAUGCUUUUUUUCCACCUUACUUAUUUUUCAGACUUGAAAACAUUCCUGAAGCCCCUUUCAUAUGUGCAUAUUAUAAAACUUUACCGCAUCCUGCUGUAAUGCACCUUUUUAUAUUGUUUCCCUGGAUAAAUAUGAUACCUUGAUAAGUGAUGGCAAAUGAGUACUUUCAGGAGGGAAAAGAAGGUCUGGGUUUUUUUUUUUCAAUUUCUUCGCAGAUGCCUUAACUAGUAAAAGUUUCAGAUGGACCAACAUUUGGGAACUGAUUUGUUCUUCAGUUGCAGUGAGUUUUCAGGUAUUCUAUCCCCUUUUUCUCAGUGUUUUCCAGAUUGCUUUGUGAAUUAUUCUAACAACGGUAAAAUAUAAC